AGGACGAACGCUGGCGGCGUGCUUAACACAUGCAAGUCGAGCGGAAAGGCCACUUCGGUGGUACUCGAGCGGCGAACGGGUGAGUAACACGUGAGUAAUCUGCCCUCCACUUUGGGAUAGCCACCGGAAACGGUGAUUAAUACCGGAUAUGACCUUGGCCCGCAUGGGUUGUGGUGGAAAGUUUUUCGGUGGGGGAUGUGCUCGCGGCCUAUCAGCUUGAUGGUGGGUAAUGGCCUACCAUGGCUUCGACGGGUAGCCGGCCUGAGAGGGUGACCGGCCACACUGGGACUGAGACACGGCCCAGACUCCUACGGGAGGCAGCAGUGGGGAAUAGUUGGACAAUGGGCGGAAGCCUGAUCCAGCAACGCGCGUGAGGGAUGACGGCCUUCGGGUUAGUAACCUCUUUCAGCACAGACGAAGACGAAGUGACGGUAUCGUGAGAGAAGAAGACGACCGGACCAAACUACGUGACCAAGCGACG
rnacentral:rRNA from 1 species